rnacentral:rRNA from 1 species
CACGGGGGGAGCAAGCGUUGUUCGGAAUUACUGGGCGUAAAGGGCGUGUAGGCGGUCAGGUAAGUGGGAUGUGAAAUGCCCCGGCUCACCCGGGGACCGGCAUCUCAUACUGCUUGGCUUGAGUUCGGGAGAGGAUGUGGGAAUUCCUGGUGUAGCGGUGAAAUGCGUAGAUAUCAGGAGGAACACCGGUGGCGAAGGCGCACAUCUGGCCCGAUACUGACGCUGAGGCGCGAAAGCUAGGGGAGCGAACGGG